GGGGGGGGGGGUGAACCCUUCGGGGCCAGCCGCGGCGGCUCCCUAAAACCCGCAGGCUGGUUGCCAAGCGCAUGGGCCAUCCGUAGUACCUAUCCGAUAUUUAGGUCAGUAUGUUGUUACGCUCAAAGUUUUCCUCUGAAAUAAAAUAAAAGUUGCAAGGGAAGGUGUAGGGAACGGGGGAGCGAGGAGCGGCUUCUCGUGGGAACCCACCACGACAGUGCUGUUGUGGGUGCAGGGACAUGGGGAUAAGAAAUAAGCACAGCAUGAAAGGAGGGAAAGGCUGCUGCAGGGGCGAUGGGAAAACACUUCCAGCGCAGCUGGGUGGCAGGUCACGGAGCUGCGAAGGGAGGGCUCUGAGCAGUGGAAAGUUCAAUGCGCGAUGGGCACUGUGCAGCCUCGGUGUCUGCAGGAGCAGAGAUGCUGCCUCCACCUCCCUGAUGCCCCGCGGACCUUGCCGUACCCUCACACCACACAUUAGUGCUCUCUGUGCCCAAACAUCCCAGGAGCAGCCUACAGAAAGUGUGGCUGCUGGGCUACAGGCUAUGGCUGCUGGGUUACAAAGCUGCUAUUUCCAAUUUUUUCUGUGUGGCAGGGCAACACGGGAGCCCAAGAAGGCCCACGACCUUGUAAAAAACACGCUAAGGCUCCAGGCAUUUUUGGUGUCCUGGAAGAUUCAAAGAAGAUUCAGUCCAUCAGUGCUCCGUGACUUGGACUUGGAGGCCAGCAGAAGGCAGCCCCUUGCAAGAGCAGCUCCACAGACACUCCAGGAGGGGAAGCCAGAAGGGAACAGUUUUGCUGGCGUCUAUAGCUGCUUCCCACCCUGAGCCUCUGCCCCGGGAGUCCCUGAGGCAUCUGUGCUCCAUGAGGAUCUUCCAGCCCCUGUAGUAGGCGCCAGGAGCGUGUGUUGAAGGAUCCAAGCCUCCAGCAACCUGCAGCCAAAGGCCUUUCUCAGCCAAGGACAGCAACUUUGUAUUUAUGACUCUUGAUUGAUUUACCGCCGUUAAUUUGUCCUGUUGCUUUUAAACCCACCUCAACAGCAAGUAUCUUUACUGCCCUGCUGUCAGGAGCUCCCUACUAAACUGUGCAUUGUGUGAAGCCCUUUUCCUUGUUGCUCUUCUCUGAACCAUUUUUACACUAGUAAUCCCUAACUCCAGUUUUGCACGUUUAGACUG